GAUGAACGCUGGCGGCGUGCCUAAUACAUGCAAGUCGAGCGAACAGACGAGGAGCUUGCUCCUCUGACGUUAGCGGCGGACGGGUGAGUAACACGUGGAUAACCUACCUAUAAGACUGGGAUAACUUCGGGAAACCGGAGCUAAUACCGGAUAAUAUAUUGAACCGCAUGGUUCAAUAGUGAAAGACGGUUUUGCUGUCACUUAUAGAUGGAUCCGCGCCGCAUUGGCUAGUUGGUAAGGUAACGGCUUACCAAGGCGACGAUGCGUAGCCGACCUGAGAGGGUGAUCGGCCACACUGGAACUGAGACACGGUCCAGACUCCUACGGGAGGCAGCAGUAGGGAAUCUUCCGCAAUGGGCGAAAGCCUGACGGAGCAACGCCGCGUGAGUGAUGAAGGUCUUCGGAUCGUAAAACUCCGUUAUUAGGGAAGAACAAAUGUGUAAGUAACUAUGCACGUCUUGACGGUACCUAAUCAGAAAGCCACGGCUAACUACGUG
rnacentral:rRNA from 1 species